rfam:Candidatus Firestonebacteria bacterium RIFOXYC2_FTLL_39_67 rifoxyc2_full_scaffold_133, whole genome shotgun sequence.
GGGCCAUUAGCUCAGCUGGUAGAGCAGCCGACUCUUAAUCGGGAGGUCGUGGGUUCGAUUCCCCCAUGGCCCA